rnacentral:rRNA from 1 species
AUUGAACGCUGGCGGCAUGCUUUACACAUGCAAGUCGAACGGUAACAGGUCUUCGGUUGCUGACGAGUGGCGAACGGGUGAGUAAUACAUCGGAACGUGCCUAGUAGUGGGGGAUAACUACUCGAAAGAGUAGCUAAUACCGCAUGAGAUCUACGGAUGAAAGCAGGGGACCUUCGGGCCUUGUGCCACUAGAGCGGCUGAUGGCAGAUUAGGUAGUUGGUGGGGUAACGGCUUACCAAGCCUGCGAUCUGUAGCUGGUCUGAGAGGACGAGCAGCCACACUGGAACUGAGACACGGCCCAGACUCCUACGGGAGGCAGCAGUGGGGAAUCUUGGACAAUGGGCGAAAGCCUGAUCCAGCAAUGCCGCGUGCAGGAUGAAGGCCCUCGGGUUGUAAAAUGCUUUUGUACGGAACGAAAAGCCUGGGGCUAAUCUCCCCGGGUCAUGACGGUACCGUAAGAAUAAGCACCGGCUAACUACGUG